rnacentral:rRNA from 1 species
AUGAGUAUUAAAUGCUAACUGUUAUGUGAACCUGCGGAGGGAUCAUUAU